rnacentral:piRNA from 1 species
UGUUUAGCUUGUCUCCUCUGCCAAAGAGACC